rnacentral:rRNA from 1 species
GGNAANCCUNANGCAGCAACGCCGCGUGAAGNAAGAAGAUUUUCNGNUNGUAAAANUCUUUNUUGAUGGAGGAAAAAAAUGACGGUACCUCAANAACAAGCCCCGGCUAACUACGUGCCAGCAGCCGCGGUAAUACGUAGGGGGCGAGCGUUGUCCGGAAUUACUGGGUGUAAAGGGCGGGUAGGCGGGGAUGCAAGUCAGAUGUGAAAAACCGGGGCUUAACCCCGGGGUUGCAUUUGAAACUGUUUUUCUUGAGUGUCGGAGAGGGAAGCGGAAUUCCCAGUGUAGCGGUGAAAUGCGUAGAUAUUUGGAGGAACACCCGUGGGGAAGGCGGGUUUCUGGGCGGCAACUGACGGUGAGGCGCGAAAGCGUGGGGAGCAAACAGGAUUAGAUACCCUGGUAGUUCCCGCCGUAAACGAUGGAUACUAGGUGUAGGAGGUAUCGACCCCUUCUGUGCCGGAGUUAACACAAUAA